rnacentral:rRNA from 2 species
CAGGUCUUGACAUCUUUUGAUCACCUGAGAGAUCAGGUUUCCCCUUCGGGGGCAAAAUGACAGGUGGUGCAUGGUUGUCGUCAGCUCGUGUCGUGAGAUGUUGGGUUAAGUCCCGCAACGAGCGCAACCCUUAUGACUAGUUGCCAGCAUUUAGUUGGGCACUCUAGUAAGACUGCCGGUGACAAACCGGAGGAAGGUGGGGAUGACGUCAAAUCAUCAUGCCCCUUAUGACCUGGGCUACACACGUGCUACAAUGGAUGGUACAACGAGUUGCGAGACCGCGAGGUCAAGCUAAUCUCUUAAAGCCAUUCUCAGUUCGGACUGUAGGCUGCAACUCGCCUACACGAAGUCGGAAUCGCUAGUAAUCGCGGAUCAGCACGCCGCGGUGAAUACGUUCCCGGGCCUUGUACACACCGCCCG